rnacentral:lncRNA from 1 species
GACUCCCUCGUUCAUUUAAUGUCACGUCAGUUCUUGAGAAUCCCAGGCCUCUGACCCCUGCCUAACCCUAACCCUAACCCUAACCCUAUAUAGCAGCCGUCUUCCUGAAGGUAGGGAGAGAUCAAAGUUUCCCCAUCCUGUGCUCAGCCUGCUGCUGUGUGUUCCUCUCUGCAGGCUGCCUGGGGUCUUUUCUCAGAGCUAGUGGGUAGCAGUAGGGGACCUACAGCCCCACGAUGGCUGCCAGAUUUGGCAAAUACAAAUACAGGAUACUUGGCUAAACUUGAAUUUCAGAUAAGCAAAUAAUUUUGGAAGUAUAAGGAUGUCCUAUGCAAUAUUUGGGACAUACUGUACUAUAAAGUGACCCACUGUUUAAUGUGAAAUUUAAGUUUAACUGGCUAAUCCUGCACUGUGUCUGGCAACGCACCCUCUGGCUACUUCGUCCCUCUUUUCUUCAGUCCCAGGGGCCAGAGGCCGGUGACCACCGUUUUGAUUUAGCCUGUCUUUUGAACUGCAAUAUCAAGAAGGGGACACUGUGGCUUGAAGAUAUAGGAAUAUACUUUAUUUUUGAAGUAACAACAAAACAGGAACCUUCUGAAGCCAUUGAGCCUCAUUGGAUGCCCCCCACCCCCAUGUUCAUUUAGUUAUAUAUUAUAAAAGAAGAUGCUAUCUAUAAACACACGAGCAGAAUCUUGUUUAAUCAAGAUGCAUGUCUACAAUUCUGUAAAUAGCCGCAUGGCCAUGCUGAGAGCCCCCUUGAUCUCCCAACCCCACACCCGUUUUACAGAACUGGCUGCUCCUUGAUUCUGUGUUGUGUAAAGUCUUUGUCCUCACCUCCCCUGCAGGGAAUGACCACAGUGGGAGAUAAUGUUCUGGCCCUGGUGCCAGCCCUGCCCAGGGAAGAUGCUGAAGGAUACUAGCCCUGAAGGCAGGUCUGCCUCGUGUCUGCAGGGCUAACCCUUGGGGCACGGUGCACUGUCUAGCCUGGCGUCUGGUGUCCCGUUGCUUCUGUGUUCCGUGUGUGUGACGUGAUUCUUCCUUCCCACUGUCUUGAAUAAACUGAAAAGCCAUAAAGGGCCUCCUACUGGAGGGUGCCCUAAACUCCUUCCAGGAGCCCCCCUGUCCCUCUAACUGGCUCCCCACAGAACACUUGUGAAGGGCUCACCUGUCCGUCACCCUCUCUUGCUCCCUUAGCCCUGUGUCAUGAGGACAGUUGGUGUUUCAGGGCUUCUGGUGGGGUCUCAGGAGAUGCCCCUGGCUGGCUUUUGUGGCCUCAGUCUGAUGGUUGAACUCUACUGAGUAUAGGCAGGGCAGUGGUUUUGACUCUGUGGCUUGGAUAUCCUCUGAGAGGCCUGGAGGCAACCAGGGUUUUCAGAAGCAGUCAGCAGCCCAGCCUAUAGUCAGGUUCUCAGUGGCAGCCUGGGAUGAACAAGGCCAGCCCUGCCUACUUUUCCCUGAGCUGUCAGGACCACAGAAAGCAGUGGAGGAGUGGCCCAUGGGGAAAACCUGAAACUGCAGUGGUUAAACUUCCUACCCUCUCUCUCUUUUGUCUAGCAGUGCCACAGAGCAGGGUGCUCGAGAGCAUGGUGGUAGUGUGGUGGCGAUAAGGGGUCACUCACAAUGGAGGAGCACAUCCGCUCCCAGGGCAGCCUGAGCAGGCAUGGCAUGUAGUGAUUGUUUGGGUAGACAGGGCUGGAGCAGCUUGGGCACCCAGAGGACUCCCCAGAAGCCAGUCAUGUAGUACUAAUCCAGGGGACCUCAGGCAGAAUUGGGCAAGUGUAUUGGCCAUGGCCAGGGGCAACAACGUGGGGUUGGCUGGAGACUUCCAGCCUCCACAGAAACUGAAAUUGGGAACCGUGGCAGCGGAGUCAUGCAAGGUGGCAGGAGCUGUGUGUGGAUCUCAGUUUCACCCCCAGCUUUACUCGGCAGCUGGGAGUUCAGGGAAGCGAUCUCGAAGUCCGAUCAUCCUGCCCUAAGUCCAGCUCAUCUAAGGAUUUGAUUUGCUUUCUGAAAACCAUAGGCCCAGAAACUUCCAAAGCUGGGGCAGAAGCUGGGUGAGCCCUGCUCCCCCUGGAAUACACUGGCCCACCAGGAGCCCUCCCUGUCUCCCUAAGGAGGACACGUGUAGCCCUCCCCUUCCCUCCCCACUCUGCUUGGCAAUGCUUCCUCCAUUCCCUUAUGUGGGCUCCACUGUUGUCUGAUCUCUUGUCAAAUUGUUAUUUUGUAACGAGCUGCGUCUCCUUAUUAAAGAAAAGAGCUGAAAGCAA